GACGAACGCUGGCGGCGUGCUUAACACAUGCAAGUCGAGCGGAAAGGCCACUUCGGUGGUACUCUAGCGGCGAACGGGUGAGUAACACGUGAGUAAUCUGCCCCUCCCUUUGGGAUAGCCACCGGAAACGGUGAUUAAUACCGGAUAUGACCAUAUGUCGCAUGGCGUUUGGUGGAAAGUGUUGCGGUGAGUGAUUUUCUCGCGGCCUAUCAGCUUGAUGGUGAGGGAAUGGCUCACCAGGGCUUGGAUGGGUAGGCGGCCUGAGAGGGUGACCGGUCACCAUGGGACUGAGACACGGACCAGAAUGCUACGGGAGGCAGCAGUGGGGAAUCUUGGACAAUGGGCGGAAGCCUGAUACAGAAACGCCGCGUGCGGGAUGACGGGCUUCGGGUUGUAAACCUCUUUCAGUACAGACGAAGCGCAAGUGACGGUAGGUACAGAAGAAGCACCGGCUAACUACGUG
rnacentral:rRNA from 1 species